rnacentral:sRNA from 1 species
UUAAGUUUUUGUUGUAGCUUGGGAUAAUUAAAAAUACUCAUUAAAUUGUACUGUUUUCAUAAAAAUUUGUAAUGCUUUUUUAUAUUCCCACUAAUUAAGUAAAAUUGGAGGCUUUUUUUGAUUUUAAAAAUUCUUAAGGUUUAAAUUCUAGAAAUUGCUCUUUUAAGUGUUUUGCUAAGAGUAUUAGUAGGAAUUUGAUUUUAGAUAUCUUGUGGAGACCUUUCCAGAAAAAGAGGGUUGCCUUUUAGUUCCUGGACCUUAUUUUAAGUAAGCUUUUUGGUCAAACCUAUUAUUCUACUCGGCUCAAAAAGUUGAAACUAUUGAAUUUAUUGUGUCAUCGUUCUUAGGAUCCAUCAAUUAAGGGAACCUUUCACUGGUCUGGCAAUGAACAGAUGACUAAGUAUGAAAUGGCAUGUGCAAUUGCAGAUGCCUUCAACCUCCCCAGCAGUCACUUAAGACCUAUUACUGACAGCCCUGUCCUAGGAGCACAACGUCCAAGAAAUGCUCAGCUUGACUGCUCCAAAUUGGAGACCUUGGGCAUUGGCCAACGAACACCAUUUCGAAUUGGAAUCAAAGAAUCACUUUGGCCUUUCCUCAUUGACAAGAGAUGGAGACAAACGGUCUUUCAUUAGUUUAUUUGUGUUGGGUUCUUUUUUUUUUUUUAAAUGAAAAGUAUAGUAUGUGGCACUUUUUAAAGAACAAAGGAAAUAGUUUUGUAUGAGUACUUUAAUUGUGACUCUUAGGAUCUUUCAGGUAAAUGAUGCUCUUGCACUAGUGAAAUUGUCUAAAGAAACUAAAGGGCAGUCAUGCCCUGUUUGCAGUAAUUUUUCUUUUUAUCAUUUUGUUUGUCCUGGCUAAACUUGGAGUUUGAGUAUAGUAAAUUAUGAUCCUUAAAUAUUUGAGAGUCAGGAUGAAGCAGAUCUGCUGUAGACUUUUCAGAUGAAAUUGUUCUUUCUCGUAACCUCCAUAUUUUCAGGAUUUUUGAAGCUGUUGACCUUUUCAUGUUGAUUAUUUUAAAUUGUGUGAAAUAGUAUAAAAAUCAUUGGUGUUCAUUAUUUGCUUUGCCUGAGCUCAGAUCAAAAUGUUUGAAGAAAGGAACUUUAUUUUUGCAAGUUACGUACAGUUUUUAUGCUUGAGAUAUUUCAACAUGUUAUGUAUAUUGGAACUUCUACAGCUUGAUGCCUCCUGCUUUUAUAGCGGUUUAUGGGGAGCACUUGAAAGAGCGUGUGUACAUGUAUUUUUUUUCUAGGCAAACAUUGAAUGCAAACGUGUAUUUUUUUAAUAUAAAUAUAUAACUGUCCUUUUCAUCCCAUGUUGCCGCUAAGUGAUAUUUCAUAUGUGUGGUUAUACUCAUAAUAAUGGGCCUUGUAAGUCUUUUCACCAUUCAUGAAUAAUAAUAAAUAUGUACUGCUGGCAUGUAAUGCUUAGUUUUCUUGUAUUUACUUCUUUUUUUAAAUGUAAGGACCAAACUUCUAAACUAAUUGUUCUUUUGUUGCUUUAAUUUUUAAAAAUUACAUUCUUCUGAUGUAACAUCUGAUACAUACAAAAGAAUAUAGUUUAAUAUGUAUUGAAAUAAAACACAAUAAAAUUAA